rnacentral:rRNA from 1 species
GACGUAGGUGGCGAACGUUAUCCGGAAUCAUUGGGCGUAAAGGGUGCGUAGAUGGCAUGAUAAGUUAUUAGUGGGAAAUCGAGGCUCAACCUCGUGGAAGCUAGUAAUACUGUUUUGCUUGAGUACAGAAGAGGUUAACGGAACUCCAUGUGGAGCGGUAAAAUGCGUAGAUAUAUGGAAGAACACCAAUAACGGCGAAGGCAGUUAACUACUCUGUUACUGACAUUGAGGCACGAAAGCGUGGGGAGCAAAACGG